rnacentral:rRNA from 1 species
CUACGGGCGGCACCAGUGAGGAAUAUUGCACAAUGGGGGGAACCCUGAUGCAGCAACGCCGCGUGGAGGAUGACGCAUUUCGGUGUGUAAACUCCUUUUAUAUGUCAAGAAAGUGACGGUAGCAUAUGCAUAAGCACCGGCUAACUCCGUGCCAGCAGCCGCGGUAAUACGGAGGGUGCAAGCGUUACUCGGAAUCACUGGGCGUAAAGGACGCGUAGGCGGGUUGGAAAGUCAGGUGUGAAAUCCUACGGCUUAACUGUAGAACUGCACUUGAAACUUCUAAUCUAGAGUAUGGGAGGGGGAGAUGGAAUUAGUGGUGUAGGGGUAAAAUCCGUAGAUAUCACUAGGAAUACCUAAAGCGAAGGCGAUCUCCUGGAACAUUACUGACGCUAAGGCGUGAAAGCGUGGGGAGCAAACAGGAUUAGAUACCCGCGUAGUC